AUGGAUGACAUCAAGCUGUACGCCAAGAGUGAGCGAGACAUCGACUCACUGAUCCACACCACCAGGAUCUACAGCUCGGACAUCGGGAUGUCAUUCGGGCUCGAGAAAUGUGGGAGGAUGGUGACAAAGAGAGGCAAGGUAAUCCACACAGAAGGGGUCUCACUCCCAGAAGGAACAAUAGCAGACAUUGAGGACAGUUACAAGUACCUUGGAAUACCACAGGCAAACGGCAACCUUGAACAGGCAACAAGGAAUGCGGCAACAGCCAAAUACCUCCAACGAGUAAGGCAAGUCCUAAGAAGCCAGCUCAAUGGCAAGAACAAAUCCCAGGCAAUAAACAGCUACGCCCUGCCAGUGAUCAGAUACCCUGCGGGAAUAAUAAGGUGGCCAAAGGAAGAAAUACAGACCACAGAUGUUAAGACACGAAAGCUCCUCACCAUGCAUGGAGGGUUCCACCCCAAAUCCAGCACCCUGAGACUGUACGCUAGCCGCAAGGAAGGAGGCCGAGGACUAGUGAGCGUGAGAGCCACUAUCCAGGAUGAAACAUCCAAGAUCCAUAAGUACAUCAAGGAUAAGGCCCCGACAGAUGACGUUCUGAGUGAAUGUCUCAGGCAGUGGAGAACAGAGGAUGAGAUGCUGGAAGAGGGACCAUCAUGGGAGGACAAGCCCUUACACGGGAUGUACCACCGGAACAUAACUGAAGUGGCUGAUCUCAACAAAUCCUACCAAUGCCUUGAAAGGGCUGGGCUAAAGGACAGCACAGAGGCACUCAUCCUGGCUGCACAGGAGCGGGCCCUGAGCACCAGAGCCAUAGAGGCCCAGAUCUACCACACCAGACAAGACCCAAGGUGUAGACUGUGCAAAGAGGCCCCUGAGACGGUCCAGCACAUAACUGCAGGGUGUAAGAUGCUGGCAGGGAAAGCAUACAUGGAACGCCAUAACCAAGUGGCUGGCAUAGUAUACAGGAACAUCUGCGCAGAGUAUGGACUGGAAACCAAGGUCAAAGUGGGAAACACCUCCCAAGGUGGUAGAGAACGAGCGAGCCAAGAUCCUGACUUCCAGAUACAGACAGACAGAAUGGUAAUGGCGAACCAACCAGACAUUGUGGUGGUGGACAAAGAGCAGAGGAAACUCGUAGUGGUGGAUGUGGCAAUACCAAGCGAUGGCAACAUCAGGAAAAAGGAACAUGAGAAACUAGAAAAAUACCAAGCGUUCAGAGAAGAACUGGAGAAGGCUUGGAAGGUGAAGGCCACAGUGGUUCCUGUGGUGAUUGGAGCACUAGGGGCAGUGACCCCCAAACUGGAGGAGUGGCUACAACAGAUCCCUGGAAAAACAUCCGACAUCUCAGUCCAGAAAAGUGCAGUCCUAGGAACAGCAAGGAUACUGCGCAGAACCCUCAAGCUCCCUAGAUCAUGUUAG
rnacentral:lncRNA from 1 species